AAAAGUAGGCGCAGGCGGUUGCGGAUUAGCGGAAGCUUGUCUGAGGAAAGUCCGGGCUCCCGAAAAACCAAACUUGCUGGGUAACGCCCAGUGCGAGCGAUCGUGAGGAUAGUGCCACAGAAAGAUACCGCCCCCCGAUUUGAGAUUUGAGAUUUGAGAUUUGAGAUUGCAUCAAAAAUCGAGCAUCGAAAAUCCCAAAGUGUUAGGGGGUAAGGGUGCAAAGGUGCGGUAAGAGCGCACCAGCAGCAUCGAGAGGUGCUGGCUCGGUAAACCCCAGUUGGGAGCAAGGUCGGAGGGACUAUGGUUGGUUUUUUACCAGUUCUGUUUUUUGGUACCGCUUGAGGCGUCUGGUAACAGGCGUCCCAGAUAGAUAACUGCCCUCGAAAACUGCUUGCAGUUGAGAGAACAGAACCCGGCUUAUGUCCGACUUUUUCCC
rnacentral:RNase_P_RNA from 1 species